UUCACCCGGGAAAUGGGGAGAGAGACUGCGGGGCAGCUGGCACCACAUACGUGCCUUACAGGCAGUUUCGGGCUUGAGUCACCUCCCUCCUGGCCAGGCUUCGGCGGCACUGACUCAGCGCCUGCGUGAGCUGGAUGCUGCCUGGAAAGCUAAUCAGCCUCUGAGGGGAGAGGAGAGGAGAAGAAAUGGUGGUAGAGAAAGAAAGGCAAGGGGAGCUGUGCAGAACCACCCGGAAGCUUGAGAGUUCAACGCGGAGAACCUGCUCUGUGCCAGGCCCCCACCUGGGAGGAGGGGUCUGGUUAUUGAGGUUUUUCUGCAAACAGUUGUGCGUGAAAUCAGGACCCAGAUGCUGCAGAACUGAAGUGGGAAGGGACUGACCACCACUGGGCAAAAGGCCGAAGAGGGUAAGAGUUAUAUAGUAACUCAGAGCUCAGUAACAUCAGCAUUUUGGAAGUAGGAUAGGAAGAAAGUCUCAUCACAAGGGAGCCCUGUGGAGAGGAAUGAGCACAGAAUUUGGAGUCAGAAGAGUGGAAGGCCUGGGCUUGGGGCCUGGCUGCACCGUGCCGGCUGGAUUGUUCUGGGAAAGCUGCCCAACUCUCUGCUCCGCAGUCCCCACAUCUGUCACUAGGGAUCAUAUCUGCCUCACAGGAUCAGCUGAGAUAAGGCACGUGUGUAAAAGGCUGUACAAAUGUUAGUUACUAUAAGGUUGUCUCAAAAAAAUAAAACCCACGGCAAAGAGUAUCCCAAGGCAGGCUCAUUUUACUCCAAUUACCAU
rnacentral:lncRNA from 10 species